rnacentral:rRNA from 1 species
GGGUUGUGAGGUUAAGCGACUAAGCGUACACGGUGGAUGCCCUGGCAGUCAGAGGCGAUGAAGGACGUGCUAAUCUGCGAUAAGCGCCGGUAAGGUGAUAUGAACCGUUAUAACCGGCGAUUUCCGAAUGGGGAAACCCAGUGUGACUCGUCACACUAUCAUUAACUGAAUCCAUAGGUUAAUGAGGCGAACCGGGGGAACUGAAACAUCUAAGUACCCCGAGGAAAAGAAAUCAACCGAGAUUCCCCCAGUAGCGGCGAGCGAACGGGGAGGAGCCCAGAGCCUGAAUCAGCAUGUGUGUUAGUGGAAGCGUCUGGAAAGGCGCGCGAUACAGGGUGACAGCCCCGUACACAAAAGCGCAUGUGCUGUGAGCUCGAUGAGUAGGGCGGGACACGUGGUAUCCUGUCUGAAUAUGGGGGGACCAUCCUCCAAGGCUAAAUACUCCUGACUGACCGAUAGUGAACCAGUACCGUGAGGGAAAGGCGAAAAGAACCCCGGCGAGGGGAGUGAAAAAGAACCUGAAACCGUGUACGUACAAGCAGUGGGAGCCCCACCACCAAAGCAUUCUCUGGUGUUGAAGGCCCUGCAAAGCAGCAUCGCGGUGGCGGAGCGUCGUUUGCGACGCCCAACACACAAAACAAGCGGUGAGUGCUUUGGGGUGGGGUGACUGCGUACCUUUUGUAUAAUGGGUCAGCGACUUAUAUUCUGUAGCAAGGUUAACCGUAUAGGGGAGCCGAAGGGAAACCGAGUCUUAACUGGGCGUUAAGUUGCAGGGUAUAGACCCGAAACCCGGUGAUCUAGCCAUGGGCAGGUUGAAGGUUGGGUAACACUAACUGGAGGACCGAACCGACUAAUGUUGAAAAAUUAGCGGAUGACUUGUGGCUGGGGGUGAAAGGCCAAUCAAACCGGGAGAUAGCUGGUUCUCCCCGAAAGCUAUUUAGGUAGCGCCUCGUGAACUCAUCUUCGGGGGUAGAGCACUGUUUCGGCUAGGGGGUCAUCCCGACUUACCAACCCGAUGCAAACUGCGAAUACCGAAGAAUGUUAUCACGGGAGACACACGGCGGGUGCUAACGUCCGUCGUGAAGAGGGAAACAACCCAGACCGCCAGCUAAGGUCCCAAAGUCACAGUUAAGUGGGAAACGAUGUGGGAAGGCUCAGACAGCCAGGAUGUUGGCUUAGAAGCAGCCAUCAUUUAAAGAAAGCGUAAUAGCUCACUGGUCGAGUCGGCCUGCGCGGAAGAUGUAACGGGGCUAAACCAUGCACCGAAGCUGCGGCAGCGA